UAUUAAAAAAUCAUCUAUUUCUAUCAUUAAAAUUGGCAUAUUUGGUGGAAUAAUCAGACAGUUAUACAUGGCGUGCCACACCUCAUGCUAACUUACAAAAACUGGUUUUUAACAAUAAAAAUAAAUGGAAUUUUUAAGA
rfam:Gossypium raimondii Chr02_contig_1454, whole genome shotgun sequence.